GUCCCUGUUUCUUUUUUGAUCAAAGUGGAAGUUGGGACACGCUGGAAUGAACUCCCAGUGUUGCACACUGCAGGUGUGGAGAGCCACAGUCCUUCAUUAUUACAGUUCUUGGUGUCUGAGCAAUUUAUAUAAAUAUAUAGGAGGAAAUGAAGAAUUGCUCUGGCAUCUGGGUUUUUUUUUUAGUCUGUUUGUUUGUUUCAGGUAGAUCCCAGAAUCUGUGCCUGUUUAAGCCAGAAUUUGAAAGUUACAAGAGUGUUAAUAAAUCACACAUUCCUACAUACUGCAUAGCAUGUACAGCUCAGAGAGACCAUGCAAUCUAAAAAAGUUUGAAUGCACCCAUAAUAUAAUGGAGGAUAUAGAUCUUCCUUGUUCUAUAGACUUCCUGUGUAUUCUUCAAAAAUAUUUUUUGUCUGAGAGAAACAAGCAAAGUCAAAAUCAACCUUUAAACUCAAGGAAAGCUACAGUUUGAACAUAGCUGCCAUCCUAUAAGACAGCUGCAGUGGAAGUUACACUUCCUAAUGGAACUGGAAAGCUUCAGGGAAACUAUAAAUGUCCCAGUCUUAAAUAGAACAUAUUUUCUGGUUUGGAAAAUAAUCUACUUUUCAAAUAUUUUAUUUUAUUCCUAAGAUGAGUGACAUCAAGCUUUUUCAAAUUUUUGGUUUACUGAAAAUCUGGGAGAGAAGAAGCAGGAGGAGAGCUGUUUCCAAAGUGAAACAGUAUUGCACAUGGUCCCUGGAGACUCAGCAUGCUUCUGCUGUCCUUCAGCCAUAAGACCAUUUACAUCAAAAUGUCAUUUUGUAGGGUUCCUCAACUACUGUUUAUUCAGCUCUCAGUCAAACUUCGAAGUCCUGUUACUCAGAACCUCAAAUCAGUCCAGAUCUAAACAGUUGAGAAGCUACUUCCAAAAUUGACAAAGAGCUAAAGAAGACAAGUUUUAACUGUUAGAUACCCUGGGGAAAAAAAAAAAAAAAAAGUUCAAAAUGGCAGGACAUCUGUUAUACAACUACUUAUCAAAGCAAGACAAAUUUACUUUUAUCAUGAAUAUAUUCAGAUCAAGAGGUAGAACCCACCCCCCUUUUUUUUCUCAUUUCCUGUUAUUGUUGCUGCAGCUGUAUAUUUCUUCUUCAAUUUCACUUUGUGCUUUCAAAAAAGAGCUAAGUUGUGACUCUUGGCUUAAAAUUGUGUUAAAAUUGUGAAUCUUGGUUUUGAAUUACUUGAUCACCGAAGACCAGUAUCAAAGUGAAAGGGGAGGGACGGAACGCUGCCAUGCUGCACCUCGAGUUUCCCAAAGCAAGCCAGCAGGAGAUGUGAGGAGCAGAAGUGACACAGAAAAAGGUCCUGAGUCCAGGCUUUGCAGCAGUUCUCCUUAUUCAGGAGGCAAAAUCCUCUUUCCAGGGCAUGGUGCAGGAAACAGCAGGACCGUUGGUGGGGGAGAUACUUAUGAUUAGAGCACACACCAGGGAAACUGAGGUCCUGCGAUGCUGGCCAGCCUCCUUCAGAUGGGAUUUCAACCAGUAACUUUGUUUUCCUGGAAGAUGCCUUAAAAGCAAAUAUGGAGAAGCUGCUGCGUCGCCCCACAGAAAACAGUACCAUGAGCUCAAGAGAGAAAACCAGUGAGAAACAGCUUCGUUCUCUGGCCUCUGUGGGAAAGAGGAAGCCCUGGGGUCUGCUCACAAUAACUGAAAAGACUUUUCAAAAUGAUAAGGAAAUACCAACACAUGAAUGAACAAGUCAACACACAACUUUUAUAAUGGAUAACAGAACAGAGCACUUCUGGAAUUAAACACAGCUGAACUGCAAGUAGCCUUAGAUGGGUAAUUUUAAUUACAUUUGGACAGAGACCAUUUUCCCGGUUUCAUCAAGUGGGAAUUUUUGCUAUUAAUAAUGUUGCAUUCUACUUUUUUUUAUAUGAGAGUGUGUUUUUGAGGCAAGUCUAAAACCAGAGUGGUUUCAUUUUAGAAAGAUUUAAUGAUCACUUAAUAAUUGCAACAUCCAGUCAUACAUAAAAUUUUGAACAGCUUUCUGAUAAUCAAAGGGUUAUUCUUCAUAUUUAAGAGUGUGCUAAAAGCUUAUGUUUAAAGUUUAAGAAUUAAUGAAACAAAUACCACCUCAUGGGUUUAGUAAAAGACUAUAUAUACAUAUAUAUAUAUAUGGGAGAAAUUAGGUUAAUGAGAAAUAUAAUGUGGUAUCUCUUCAGAAUAUAAAGAGAAUAUAAAUAAUUUUAAAAUUGUAGAGAUAAUUUUACAGACAGUAUUAUGCAUUAAGACUGGAAAGCGAUGCUUAUGAAAACUAACCAGAGUCCUUAUUCAUUAUGUGUACAAAUAAAGAAAUUUUAGAAAAUACAUAUUUGGAUAAAUAAUUUCAGCUACAUUUAACAUUGCAUUGUUAAUUGUGUAAAUAAAACAAAGCCAAUACUGUCACAUUAUCCAAGCUGUAUAGAGAGCAUGAUUACAUUCCCUAUAUUAUACGCAUUACUUUCAAAACUUCUAGAAAUAGUACGAGCUCAAAUGCUCUUCAAAAUUAGAACUGGAAGACAAUCUAUUCUUCCAUUAAUAGGUCACUUUACUUGUUAAAUCAAUCUCAGAAUUAAUACCUUAGGUUUCAUUUGAAACCUUCAUGAAAGUUUCAAAUUUUUUUACACUUAAAACUUUCAGGUAUGCACAACUGAUGAAGCAUCCUUCCAUAGCGAUUUUUAGGG